AUUGAACGCUGGCGGCAUGCCUUACACAUGCAAGUCGAACGGUAACAGGUUAAGCUGACGAGUGGCGAACGGGUGAGUAAUAUAUCGGAACGUGCCCAGUCGUGGGGGAUAACUGCUCGAAAGAGCAGCUAAUACCGCAUACGACCUGAGGGUGAAAGCGGGGGAUCGCAAGACCUCGCGCGAUUGGAGCGGCCGAUAUCAGAUUAGGUAGUUGGUGGGGUAAAGGCCCACCAAGCCAACGAUCUGUAGCUGGUCUGAGAGGACGACCAGCCACACUGGGACUGAGACACGGCCCAGACUCCUACGGGUGGCAG
rnacentral:rRNA from 1 species